UACGAAGGGAGCUAGCGUUGUUCGGAAUCACUGGGCGUAAAGCGUGCGCAGGCGGCUUUUUAAGCCAGAGGUGAAAUGCCAGGGCUCAACCCUGGAACUGCCUUUGGAACUGAAAAGCUGGAGUCUCGGAGAGGUUUGGGGGAAUUCCUAAUGUAGCGGUGAAAUGCGUAGAUAUUAGGAGGAACACCAAUGGCGAAGGCACCAAACUGGACGAGUACUGACGCUCAUGCACGAAAGCGUGGGGAUCAAACAGG
rnacentral:rRNA from 1 species